rnacentral:rRNA from 1 species
UGGAUGAUGUGGAUUAAUUCGAUGCAACGCGAAAACCUUACCUACCCUUGACAUGCCAGGAACCCUGCCGAGAGGUGGGGUGCCCGAAAGGGAGCCUGGACACAGGUGCUGCAUGGCUGUCGUCAGCUCGUGUCGUGAGAUGUUGGGUUUAAGUCCCGCAACGAGCGCAACCCUUGUCAUUAGUUGCCAUCAUUCAGUUGGGCACUCUAAUGAGACUGCCGGUGACAAACCGGAGGAAGGUGGGGAUGACGUCAAGUCCUCAUGGCCCUUAUGGGUAGGGCUUCACACGUCAUACAAUGGUCGGUACAGAGGGUUGCCAAGCCGCGAGGUGGAGCCAAUCCCAGAAAGCCGAUCGUAGUCCGGAUCGGAGUCUGCAACUCGACUCCGUGAAGUCGGAAUCGCUAGUAAUCGUGGAUCAGCAUGUCACGGUGAAUACGUUCCCGGGCCUU